CUACGGGACGCAGCAGUGGGGAAUAUCGCACAAUGGGGGAAACCCUGAUGCAGCAACGCCGCGUGGAGGAUGACGCAUUUCGGUGUGUAAACUCCUUUUAUAUCCCAAGAUAAUGACGGUAGGAUAUGAAUAAGCACCGGCUAACUCCGUGCCAGCAGCCGCAGUAAUACGGAGGGUGCAAGCGUUACUCGGAAUCACUGGGCGUAAAGGGCGCGUAGGCGGGUUGUCAAGUCUUGAGUGAAAUCCAACGGCUCAACCGUUGAACUGCUUGAGAAACUGGCAGCCUAGAGUGAGGGAGAGGUAGAUGGAAUUGGUGGUGUAGGGGUAAAAUCCGUAGAGAUCACCAGGAAUACCCAUUGCGAAGGCGAUCUGCUGGAACUCUACUGACGCUGAGGCGCGAAAGCGUGGGGAGCAAACAGGAUUAGAUACCCCCGUAGUC
rnacentral:rRNA from 1 species